rnacentral:rRNA from 1 species
CAGACCUCAAGAUAAGAUUUCCCAAUUAAGUAAGACCCCUUGAAGACGACAAGGUAGAUAGGUUGGAGGUGGAAGUGCAGCAAUGCAUGGAGCUGACCAAUACUAAUGGUACGAGGGUUUGACCUAAAAUCUA